UUAGGAAUCCUGUGUAAUAAACAAUGAACCCUCUUACAUAAUCCUUGGUAGUGUGGUUGGUCACCCCUAUAAUGUACAUGUACUUCAGUUAGCAGACUGGCAGCGCAAGGGGAACACCCACACUUGUUCUCCCUUCCCAAGCUUUGAUUUUUACUCUAUAAGUUUUGCCUGCUUCAAGACCUUACUGCUAUAUGGACUCGGUUUGAAAGCCAUUUUGAUUUUAAUCUGUAACUUUCUUUGGCACUGUGUUUUUAAUUGUUUCAAUUCUGGGUUUCGUUUAAUAGUUUUACUGUGUGUUGGUCUUGGUUAAGGUUACACUGGUUUGGCUUUUGGUCAUUGCUUUAGUAUCAAUAAAGUUAUUUUUCUUAUUUUUGUUUAUUGAGGAAACCUA